GGUUAACGCUGGCGGCGUGCCUAACACAUGCAAGUCGAACGGUUCUAAGCGCGAGCUUAGGAUAGUGGCGAACGGGUGAGUAAAAGGUAGGAAUCUACCCCUUGGACGGAGAUAGCUACUGGAAACGGUAGGUAAACUUCGAUAAGCCCGAGAGGGGAAAGUGGUGAGACAGCCGAGGGAUGAGCCUACUCUCCAUCAGGUAGUUGGUGAGAUAAAAGCUUACCAAGCCGAUGACGGAUAACCGGUGUGAGAGCAUGAACGGUCACAAGGGCACUGAGAGACGGGCCCUACUCCUACGGGAGGCAGCAGUGGGGAAUAUUGCGCAAUGGGGGGAACCCUGACGCAGCGACGCCGCGUGAAGGAGAAGGCCUUCGGUUGUAAACUUCUUUGAUGAGGGACGAAGGAAGUGACGGUACCUCAAAAACAAGACCACGGCUAACUACGUG
rnacentral:rRNA from 1 species